CAAAGAGUAGUUAAAUUAGAACGUUGGUCCUGGGAACCAGUGGUGGGGGUUAAACUCCCUCCUCUUUGA
rnacentral:tRNA from 1 species